rnacentral:rRNA from 1 species
AACGAACGCUGGCGGCAUGCCUAACACAUGCAAGUCGAACGGGACCUCCGGGCCUUGUGGCGCACGGGUGCGUACCGCGUGGGAACUUACACUUAAGUUCGCUACACCUGCCCGUAGGAGGUGUUCAUACCGGAUAAUCUCAUCGGACCAAAGAUCUAUUGCCUUUGGAUGGGCGCGGGUUGGAUUCGCUGGUUGGUAGGGUAAUAGCCUACCAACGCCACGAUCCAUAGCUGGUCUGUGAAGAGGAUCAGCAACGCUGGAACUGCGACACGGCCUAGACUCGGACGGAAGGGAGCAGAGGGGAAUACUGUAGAAGGGACGAAAACGUGAUCAAGCAAUGCCGCGUAAGAGGGGAAGGCCGUAGGAUUGUAAAGCUCUUUUACACGGGAUGAUAAUGACGGUACCGGGAAAAUAAGCUCCGGCUAACUCCGUG